CCAGGACAAAAGACUUCCUGAGCCCCCCUGGGACUGCCUGGGACCCCAGCCGGGAGGCGACAUCCCUUGGGUCCCAGUCCUAUGAGGAUAUGAGGGGGAUCCUGUAUGCAGCCCCCCAGCUCCGCUCCGUUCGGGCCCAGCCGGGUCCCAAUCAUGAGGAAGAUGCAGAUUCUUACGAGAACAUGGAUAAUCCUGAUGGGCCCAGACCAGCGUGUGGAGGAGGGAGCCACAAGGGGACCUGGAGCACCCGCUGAUUCCCUUCAGGUUCCUGAGAUCCACACCUGACUGAGAUCUGGGGACCCACAGCAGAUGAUGUCAACCUCGAGCGACGCUGCUCAGGCUGUGUGUACCCGUGUGUGUCUGUGUGCACAAGUGGAACGUCAGUCCCGUUCGCACUGCCCAAAUAAACUCCACGAGCUGUUCCAGUC